AAGAGAAAUAUUGAAUCGAAAUUAAAAAAAAAAUAUGAAAAAUAGAAGAGCGAGAGAGAGAGAGAGAGAGAGAGAGAGAGAGAGAGAGAGAGAGAGAGAGAGAGAGAGAGAGAGAGACUAAGAACAACAGGGGUAAAAAUCUUGACACAAAAAGGGGAAAAAAAAAAGAAAAAAAAAAAGACCAGAUGUAAAUAUUAUCAAAAAAUCCUCAAAAAACACACUGGCGAGUUAUGAGAAUGAGGAAACACUCGCAACACACAACACGUCAGCAACACGUCUGGAGGUACAACAAGAAACACCUUAUUGAUGCCUCGUUAGGGCGGGCACAGGUGAGGCUGGAACGUUACCCCCAAGACAGGCACACACACACACACACACACACCGACACACACACAUACGCACGCACACUGGAGGUAACAGAACAGCCUAACGGAAUUUCAGAGUCAGAUAAGAAAAAAAAAAAAAAAAGAAAAGGAGGAAAGAGCAGUAAUAGUAAUAGUAGGAGUAAUAGUAAUAAAAAAACAUCGACAACAACAACAGUGAUCGCGCUAAUGUCAAAACAACGUCAUUUUUUAUCAGCAACAACAGCCAUUAACCGAGCGACUGAAAGACAAAAACAAUGAUGCAGUAGUAACAGUAAUAGCAGUAGUAGUAGUAGUAGUAACAGCAACAGCAGCAGCAACAGUAGUAGAUGUAGUAGUAGUAGUAAUAGUAGUGGUAUAGCCCAUUUCAGUGAGUGUCGAAGGCUGGUCUCGCCACAGGACAGCAGAGAAUGACAGACCGUUCCUUUACGUCCUCUCAAAACAAAGGGAGGAGUUAUAAUAUGCAAAGUCUCGUUACAGGACAGCGGAGAAUGACAAACCGUUCCUUUACGUCCUCUCAAAACAAAGGGAGGAGUUAUAAUAUGCAAAGUCUCAUUACAGAACAGCGGAGAAUGACAAACUGUUCCUUUACGUCCUCUCAAAACAAAGGGAGGAGUUAUAAUAUGCAAAGUCUCAUUACAGAACAGCGGAGAAUGACAAACUGUUCCUUUACGUCCUCUCAAAACAAAGGGAGGAGUCAUAAUAUGCAAAGUCUCGUUACAGGACAGUGGAGAAUGACAAACUGUUCCUUUACGUCCUCUCAAAACAAAGGGAGGAGUCAUAAUAUGCAAAGUCUCGUUACAGGACAGCGGAGAAUGACAAACUGUUCCUUUACGUCCUCUCAAAACAAAGGGAGGAGUUAUAAUAUGCAAAGUCUCGUUACAGGACAGCGGAGAAUGACAAACCGUUCCUUUACGUCCUCUCAAAACAAAUAAUAUGCAAAGGAGGACAUUUCAUAACAGAGAAACGAUAUAUGGCAUUGUUUCCGUUCCUUCUCGCACACACGCCACAAUUUUUACACUACUGCCAGCUUGUAUGAGAAAAAACCCAUGGUAACGUUCCCUUUAGACCAUAUCGUAACAUACUCCUUACCAUGACAUACGCUCUUUUAAACUACAUCAGAUGCGUCUUAUAAGCAAUGCCAUGAGCUCUUCAGAUGCACUUUUGCCCACGUGGGAAAAGAAAGCAAUCAGGUAGGGUGUGUCUUCUCCUCGACAUAUGCUCAGUGAUUGAAGAUUACUGAUAUCGUAACAUACUCCUUCUUACCAUGACAUACGCUCUUUUAAACUACAUCAGAUGCGUCUUAUAAGCAAUGCCAUAAGCUCUUUAGACGCACUUUCGCCCACGUGGGAAAAGAAAGCAAUCAGGUAGGGUGUCUUCUCCUCGACAUAUGCUAAGUGAUUGAAGAUUACUGAUAUUGUAACAUACUCCUUCUAACCAUGACAUACGCUCUUUUAAACUACAUCAGAUGCGUCUUAUAAGCAAUGCCAUAAGGUUUUCUGAUGCACUUUUGCUCACAUGGGAAAAGAAAGCAAUCAGGUAGUGUGUGUCUUCUCCUCGACAUCUGAUAAGUGACUGGUAUUGUUUCCGCUCCUUCUCACACACACACCACAAUAUUUAUACUACCGCCAUCUCGUAUGGAAAAAAAUCUAUGGUAUUGUUUCUGCUCCUCGCACACAAGACGCUCAUUUUUUAUACUACCACCAUCUCGUAUGGAAAAAAAAAAUCCAUGGUAACGUUCCCGCAUUUGACACUCACUGUAACAGGCCAACACAACAGUGGUAAUGGAGGGAAGAACAACAGUAAUAACAUUAAUAACAACAAUAAUAAUGAUAAUAACACCAAUUGUCAACACAUCAAAUCUUGCACACACGCGCGCACACACUCAUAUGGGUCCCCCCCUUGGACGUGCCUUGGCUGUUUAUACCCUGAUGAUGCAUAGGAAAAUAGCCCUUAUGUAUGGUAGUUCUGAAUUCUGUUAGGGGGGGGAGGGGCAGGAGGGGGGAAGGUCCUAUACUCCAUUGAUACCACUAACCUAUUUCUUCUUCUUCCUCCUCCUCCUCUUAUAUUCUAGACAAUGGAUGUAUAUUUUGAUGACUGGUUUAUGGGAAAGACCAACCCCUCAGAUAUAUGUUCUGUUAUCCUAUUUAGUACUGUUUGUAAGUCUUAAUUUGGCCUUCUCAUCAAUGGUAUUCUUUUGUUUAUAUUCCGAUUUCCUUCUUUUGUAAUUUUUUUGUUUUAUUUAAUUUUACAACAUUCCUUCGACUUACUUUCAUUCAUGUGUCAGUUUCUACAUUUCUACUUCAUUGCUUUCAUUGCUUCCUCUAACGGGCAAACCUUCUCUCUAACACAGCUACGAGAUUGCCAGUUUUCCCUCAUUGCUUUCCCUAUCUCCUUCCCUUCCUCCUCACUCCCUCAUUCCUUUCUUCAGUAACUCGAUCAUUCUUUUAUUAAUUUCUCCUUCCUUCCUUCCUUCCUCAAACGGACAAACCUUCUCUCCUAACAUUGCUCCGAGAUUCAGUUUUCACCCUAAUGCUUUACCUAUCUCCUUCUCUUCCUCCUCACUCCUUCAUUCCUUUCUUUAGUAACUCAAUCAUUCUUUUAUUAAUUUCUCCUUCCUUCCUCAAAUGGAAAACCUUCUCUCCUAACAUUGCUCCGAGAUUCAGUUUCCACCCUAAUGCUUUCCCUAUCUCCUUCUCUUCCUCCUCACUCCCUCAUUCCUUUCUUCAGUAACUCAAUCAUUCUUUUAUUAAUUUCUUCUUCCUUCCUUCCUUCCUCAAACGGACAAACCUUCUCUCCUAACAUUGCUCCGAGAUUCAGUUUCCACCCUAAUGCUUUCCCUAUCUCCUUCUCUUCCUCCUCACUCCCUCAUUCCUUUCUUCAGUAACUCAAUCAUUCUUUUAUUAAUUUCUUCUUCCUUCCUUCCUUCCUCAAACGGACAAACCUUCUCUCCUAACAUUGCUCCGAGAUUCAGUUUCCACCCUAAUGCUUUGCCUAUCUCCUUCUCUUCCUCCUCACGCCUUCAUUCCUUUCUUCAGUAACUCAAUCAUUCUUUUAUUAAUUUCUCCUUCCUUCCUUCCUCUAACAGACAAACCUUCUCUCUCUAACAUUGCUCCGAGAUUGAUAGUUUCCACCCUAAUGCUUUGCCUAUCUCCUUCCCUUCCUCCUCACUCCCCAUUCCUUUCUUUAGUAACUCAAUUCUUUUAUUAAUUUCUCCUCCCUUCCUUCCUUCCUCUAACGGGCAAAUCUUCUCUCCUAACAUUGCUCCAAGAUUGAUAGUUUCCUACCCAUUGCUCUUCCUAUCACCUCCCCUUCCUCCUCCUCCUCCUCCUCCUUGCUCUCCCAUUCAUCUAUGCAUUACACCCAUUGAUACGGGCAACAGCCAAGGCAGUUUUAAGGGGGAACCGCAGCAAUCUGUUAGCUAAGGGGGUGGGGAAGGACAAGGAUGGAAGCGAAGGAGGAGAAGGGAUUGAGGAUAGGAGAAGGAGGGGAAGGAAAGGGAAAAAAGGAGGAAAAGGAUAUGUAAAGAAAAGGAUAAGGAUGUAGGAGCAGAA